GACGAACGCUGGCGGCGUGCUUAACACAUGCAAGUCGAACGGAAAGGCCCUGCUUUUGUGGGGUGCUCGAGUGGCGAACGGGUGAGUAACACGUGAGUAACCUGCCCUUGACUUUGGGAUAACUUCAGGAAACUGGGGCUAAUACCGGAUAGGAGCUCCUGCUGCAGGGUGGGGGUUGGAAAGUUUCGGCGGUUGGGGAUGGACUCGCGGCUUAUCAGCUUGUUGGUGGGGUAGUGGCUUACCAAGGCUUUGACGGGUAGCCGGCCUGAGAGGGUGACCGGCCACAUUGGGACUGAGAUACGGCCCAGACUCCUACGGGAGGCAGCAGUGGGGAAUCUUGCACAAUGGGCGGAAGCCUGAUGCAGCAACGCCGCGUGCGGGAUGACGGCCUUCGGGUUGUAAACCGCUUUCGCCUGUGACGAAGCGUGAGUGACGGUAAUGGGUAAAGAAGCACCGGCUAACUACGUG
rnacentral:rRNA from 1 species